GAGAGUUUGGCCGAGUGGUUAAGGCGUCAGAUUUAGGCUCCUCUUAAGCAAGAUCUCUGAUAUCUACGGAUUCGCGGGUUCGAAUCCCGUAGCUCUCA
rfam:Ashbya gossypii ATCC 10895 chromosome IV, complete sequence.